rnacentral:rRNA from 1 species
GACGAACGCUGGCGGCGUGCUUAACACAUGCAAGUGGUGCGACGAACCAGGGCUUGCCCUGGGGCAGAGCCGCGAACGGGUGAGUAACACGUGGGUAACGUGCCCCGAUGACUGGGACAACCCGGGGAAACCCGGGCUAAUACCGGAUGUGCUCCCUCACCUCGGUGAGACGAGCAAAGGAAGCUUCGGCCUCCGCGUUGGGGAUCGGCCCGCGGCCCAUUAGCUUGUUGGUGAGGUAACGGCUCACCAAGGCUGCGAUGGGUAGCUGGUCUGAGAGGACGAUCAGCCACACUGGGACUGAGACACGGCCCAGACUCCUACGGGAGGCAGCAGUGGGGAAUCUUGCGCAAUGCGCGACAGCGUGACGCAGCAACGCCGCGUGGGGGAA